CAAUAGCGUAUAUUAAAGUUGUUGCAGUUAAAAAGCUCGUAGUUGGAUUUCUGGCAGGAGCGACCGGUCACACACUCUGUGUGUGAACUCGUGUUGUCUCUGGCCAUCCUUGGGGAGAUCCUGUUUGGCAUUAAGUUGUCGGGCAGGGGACAUCCAUCGUUUACUGUGAAAAAAUUAGAGUGUUUAAAGCAGGCUUAUGCCGUUGAAUAUAUUAGCAUGGAAUAAUAAGAUAGGACUUCGGAACUAUUUUGUUGGUUUGCGUUACGGAGUAAUGAUUAAUAGGGACAGUUGGGGUAUUCGUAUUUCGUUGUCAGAGGUGAAAUUCUUGGAUUUCCGAAAGACGAACUACUGCGAAAGCAUUUACCAAGGAUGUUUUCAUUA
rnacentral:rRNA from 1 species